UAUGUUCGUAUGUUCUGCUGUCGCUCUUACAAAUUUUCUAGUUUUUUUGGUAGAAAAAAUGGUGUUCCUGUACCCCAUUUGAGUCUAUUCUGUUCCUUAAGACUGGUUGAAUCUCCUGAAAAUAAGCGUUAAUAAUAAUACACAACAGCAAAUAAUGACCACCCAACAGUAGAGACCUGGGUCACUAGCUCUUUGUACGAUCCUGAUGUUCGGCCAGCAUUCUGGUGAACGAAAUUGAUGUUCCAUUAUUUGAUUAAAAAUUUUGUACAGGGUGGGUCAAAUUCGACGCUUUUAAAUGGAAUGCAAUUCCAAAGCAGUACAUUUAUCCUAUUCAUGAGUUUUGCCAAGAAUAUGCAUCAGGACUUAUAUCUAAAAUUUUAUUUCUUCUGGAAUCAAUACUUUCGUGAAGGGUAGCCAGAAGAUGUAUUUACUUCAAUAGUAAACGUCCGCAUGCCGACCAGUA